AUUUAGGACGAGCCCCAAAUAGGAUGAAACGCGCGUCCUGGAU
rnacentral:hammerhead_ribozyme from 1 species